AUCCGUAUACAGAUAAAUGGAAACGUGUAAGUGUUGUCUUGAAUAAGAAUACAAAGCAAUCGCAAAAAGAGGCAAUGUUUCGUUUAGAAGAAAAAAUAAAAGAAAAACUAAACAACAAGUCGUCAAGCGAAUUAAAAACUUUGACUUUUCACGCGUUAUUAGAUGAAUGGCUUGAAUAUCAUAUAAAAACAUCUGGCUUUAAAGUAACGACGCUUGAUAAUUUGAAAACAAGAAUCAAAAACAUCAAAAAGAACAGUUCUCAAAAUUUACUUUUAAACAAAAUUGAUACAAAGUACAUGCAAACAUUUAUUAACGAAUUAUCAAACGUAUAUUCUGCAAAUCAGGUAAAGCGUCAACUUGGACAUAUGAAAGAAGCUAUUAAAUACGCCGUUAAAUUUUACAAUUAUCCAAACGAACACAUAUUAAAUAGCGUCACACUACCAAAGAAGAGUAAGACGAUAGAAGAUAUAGAAAAAGAAGAAGCGAAAAUGUACAACUAUUUAGAGAUGGAACAGGUAAUACAGAUACGCGAUUUUAUACUGAACGAUAAUAACAUGCAGUAUAGAGCUCGUAUUUUAGUUGCUGGGGCUGUAGAAGUUCAAGCUUUAACAGGUAUGCGCAUAGGUGAGUUAUUAGCUCUCCAAGUUAAAGAUGUUGACCUCAAAAAUAAAACGAUCGCUAUUAAUGGCACUAUUCACAGAAUCAAAUGUAAUGCUGGAUUUGGUCACAAAGAUACUACGAAGACCGCAGGUUCAAAAAGAAAAAUCGCCAUCAAUUCAAGGAUAGCAAAUGUAUUGAAAAAAAUAAUGUUAGAAAAUAAAAAGAUGCAACAAUGGGAACCAAGCUAUGUUGAUAGAGGGUUUAUAUUCACAACUUGCCAAGGAAAUCCUAUGCAAGGCAGUAGGAUAAACAAACGAUUGUCCUCAGCUGCAGAAUCAUUAAAUAUAAAUAAAAAAGUUACUACUCACACACUAAGGCAUACACACAUAAGUUUAUUGGCGGAAAUGAAUAUAUCGUUAAAAGCAAUUAUGAAAAGAGUAGGACAUAGAGAUGAAAAAACGACUAUAAAGGUGUAUACACAUGUAACAGAGAAAAUGGACAGAGAGUUAGAGCAAAAAUUAGAAAAACUUGUGUACUAAAAGGUAUCUGCCCUUUUUCUGCCCUUUUUUAUUUUUAAAGACGCUACAAAUCCUUUGUAACAACUGAUAUUAAAGGCUUUUUAACACAAGUUAAUCCCAUCCUUGUAUGAUUGGUUUAACUUGCCAGAUACCUCUGCGUGUGGCAGGGUCAUCAUUCGUAACA
rnacentral:rRNA from 1 species